rnacentral:rRNA from 1 species
GCAGUCGAGGGGUAUAGUUCUUCGGAACUAGAGACCGGCGCACGGGUGCGUAACGCGUAUGCAAUCUACCUUUUACAGAGGGAUAGCCCAGAGAAAUUUGGAUUAAUACCUCAUAGUAUUAUGAAAUGGCAUCAUUUUAUAAUUAAAGUCACAACGGUAAAAGAUGAGCAUGCGUCCCAUUAGCUAGUUGGUAAGGUAACGGCUUACCAAGGCUACGAUGGGUAGGGGUCCUGAGAGGGAGAUCCCCCACACUGGUACUGAGACACGGACCAGACUCCUACGGGAGGCAGCAGUGAGGAAUAUUGGACAAUGGGCGCAAGCCUGAUCCAGCCAUGCCGCGUGCAGGAUGACGGUCCUAUGGAUUGUAAACUGCUUUUAUACGAGAAGAAACACUGCUUCGUGAAGCAGCUUGACGGUAUCGUAAGAAUAAGGAUCGGCUAACUCCGUGCCAGCAGCCGCGGUAAUACGGAGGAUCCAAGCGUUAUCCGGAAUCAUUGGGUUUAAAGGGUCCGUAGGCGGUUUAAUAAGUCAGUGGUGAAAGCCCAUCGCUCAACGGUGGAACGGCCAUUGAUACUGUUAGACUUGAAUUAUUAGGAAGUAACUAGAAUAUGUAGUGUAGCGGUGAAAUGCUUAGAGAUUACAUGGAAUACCAAUUGCGAAGGCAGGUUACUACUAAUGGAUUGACGCUGAUGGACGAAAGCGUGGGUAGCGAACAGGAUUAGAUACCCUGGUAGUCCACGCCGUAAACGAU